rnacentral:rRNA from 1 species
UACGUAGGAUCCAAGCGUUAUCCGGAUUUACUGGGCGUAAAGCGUGUGUAGGCGGCGUGUUAAGUGAGAUGUGAAAUCUUGUGGCUCAACCAUAUAGGCUAUAUCUCAUACUGGCAUGCUUGAGGUCGGCAGAGGCAAGUGGAAUUACGGGUGUAGCAGUGAAAUGCGUAGAGAUCCGUAGGAACACCAAUGGCGAAGGCAGCUUGCUGGGCCGAAUCUGACGCUGAGACACGAAAGCGUGGGGAGCGAACAGG